rnacentral:lncRNA from 1 species
UGGAAUGGAGGAGAAAGGAGGAGAAGGGGUGGUGAAAACAAAAUAAAAUAGGAGAAAAAGGAGGAUUAAAGAGGAGGGCAGCAAAAGGAAGACGAGGAGAGCAAGAUGAGAAAAAAAUAAAACUGGUAGAGUGUUUAGGUGCAUGGCUGGACAAGGUAGUAAAAGGGGAAGAAAUGGUAUGUUUGAGGACAAGGGGAGUGAAAAGUGGAUCAUGGAGGGAACAAAGGAGUGAGAAGGGGAUUGUAAAAGGCAUGUUGACCAAGCAAUAAGGGAAAAAAAUCUUCCCUAUUUGGAAACUAAUGGGACAAC